rnacentral:rRNA from 1 species
UUAAGCGACUAAGCGUACACGGUGGAUGCCCUGGCAGUCAGAGGCGAUGAAGGACGUGCUAAUCUGCGAAAAGCGCCGGCGAGGUGAUAUGAACCUUUGACCCGGCGAUGUCCGAAUGGGGAAACCCAGUGUGUUCCGACACACUAUCGUUAACUGAAUACAUAGGUUAACGAGGCGAACCGGGGGAACUGAAACAUCUAAGUACCCCGAGGAAAAGAAAUCAACCGAGAUUCCCCCAGUAGCGGCGAGCGAACGGGGAGCAGCCCAGAGUCUGAAUCAGCUUGUGUGUUAGUGGAAGCGUCUGGAAAGUCGCACGGUACAGGGUGAAAGUCCCGUACACGAAAGCACACAGGUUGUGAACUCGAAGAGUAGGGCGGGACACGUGGUAUCCUGUCUGAAUAUGGGGGGACCAUCCUCCAAGGCUAAAUACUCCUGACUGACCGAUAGUGAACCAGUACCGUGAGGGAAAGGCGAAAAGAACCCCGGCGAGGGGAGUGAAAAAGAACCUGAAACCGUGUACGUACAAGCAGUGGGAGCCUCUUUUAUGGGGUGACUGCGUACCUUUUGUAUAAUGGGUCAGCGACUUAUAUUCUGUAGCAAGGUUAACCGUAUAGGGGAGCCGAAGGGAAACCGAGUCUUAACUGGGCGUUAAGUUGCAGGGUAUAGACCCGAAACCCGGUGAUCUAGCCAUGGGCAGGUUGAAGGUUGGGUAACACUAACUGGAGGACCGAACCGACUAAUGUUGAAAAAUUAGCGGAUGACUUGUGGCUGGGGGUGAAAGGCCAAUCAAACCGGGAGAUAGCUGGUUCUCCCCGAAAGCUAUUUAGGUAGCGCCUCGUGAACUCAUCUUCGGGGGUAGAGCACUGUUUCGGCUAGGGGGCCAUCCCGGCUUACCAACCCGAUGCAAACUACGAAUACCGAAGAAUGUUAUCACGGGAGACACACGGCGGGUGCUAACGUCCGUCGUGAAGAGGGAAACAACCCAGACCGCCAGCUAAGGUCCCAAAGUCAUGGUUAAGUGGGAAACGAUGUGGGAAGGCACAGACAGCCAGGAUGUUGGCUUAGAAGCAGCCAUCAUUUAAAGAAAGCGUAAUAGCUCACUGGUCGAGUCGGCCUGCGCGGAAGAUGUAACGGGGCUAAACCAUGCACCGAAGCUGCGGCAGCGACACUAUGUGUUGUUGGGUAGGGGAGCGUUCUGUAAGCCGUUGAAGGUGUCCUGUGAGGGGUGCUGGAGGUAUCAGAAGUGCGAAUGCUGACAUAAGUAACGAUAAAGCGGGUGAAAAGCCCGCUCGCCGGAAGACCAAGGGUUCCUGUCCAACGUUAAUCGGGGCAGGGUGAGUCGACCCCUAAGGCGAGGCCGAAAGGCGUAGUCGAUGGGAAACAGGUUAAUAUUCCUGUACUUGGUGUUACUGCGAAGGGGGGACGGAGAAGGCUAUGUUAGCCGGGCGACGGUUGUCCCGGUUUAAGCAUGUAGGCGGAACGAUUAGGUAAAUCCGGUCGUUUAUUAACGCUGAGGUGUGAUGACGAGGCACUACGGUGCUGAAGUAACAAAUGCCCUGCUUCCAGGAAAAGCCUCUAAGCAUCAGGUAACAUCAAAUCGUACCCCAAACCGACACAGGUGGUCAGGUAGAGAAUACCAAGGCGCUUGAGAGAACUCGGGUGAAGGAACUAGGCAAAAUGGUGCCGUAACUUCGGGAGAAGGCACGCUGAUAUGUAGGUGAAGCCCCUGCGGGUGGAGCUGAAAUCAGUCGAAGAUACCAGCUGGCUGCAACUGUUUAUUAAAAACACAGCACUGUGCAAACACGAAAGUGGACGUAUACGGUGUGACGCCUGCCCGGUGCCGGAAGGUUAAUUGAUGGGGUUAGCGGUAACGCGAAGCUCUUGAUCGAAGCCCCGGUAAACGGCGGCCGUAACUAUAACGGUCCUAAGGUAGCGAAAUUCCUUGUCGGGUAAGUUCCGACCUGCACGAAUGGCGUAAUGAUGGCCAGGCUGUCUCCACCCGAGACUCAGUGAAAUUGAACUCGCUGUGAAGAUGCAGUGUACCCGCGGCAAGACGGAAAGACCCCGUGAACCUUUACUAUAGCUUGACACUGAACACUGGUCCUUGAUGUGUAGGAUAGGUGGGAGGCUUUGAAGCGUGGACGCCAGUCUGCGUGGAGCCAACCUUGAAAUACCACCCUUUAAUGGCUGGUGUUCUAACGUAGACCCGUAAUCCGGGUUGCGGACAGUGUCUGGUGGGUAGUUUGACUGGGGCGGUCUCCUCCCAAAGAGUAACGGAGGAGCACGAAGGUUAGCUAAUCCUGGUCGGACAUCAGGAGGUUAGUGCAAUGGCAUAAGCUAGCUUGACUGCGAGAGUGACGGCUCGAGCAGGUGCGAAAGCAGGUCAUAGUGAUCCGGUGGUUCUGAAUGGAAGGGCCAUCGCUCAACGGAUAAAAGGUACUCCGGGGAUAACAGGCUGAUACCGCCCAAGAGUUCAUAUCGACGGCGGUGUUUGGCACCUCGAUGUCGGCUCAUCACAUCCUGGGGCUGAAGUAGGUCCCAAGGGUAUGGCUGUUCGCCAUUUAAAGUGGUACGCGAGCUGGGUUUAGAACGUCGUGAGACAGUUCGGUCCCUAUCUGCCGUGGGCGCUGGAGAAUUGAGGGGGGCUGCUCCUAGUACGAGAGGACCGGAGUGGACGCAUCACUGGUGUUCGGGUUGUCAUGCCAAUGGCACUGCCCGGUAGCUAAAUGCGGAAGAGAUAAGUGCUGAAAGCAUCUAAGCACGAAACUUGCCCCGAGAUGAGUUCUCCCUGAGACUUUAAGUCUCCUGAAGGAACGUUGAAGACUACGACGUUGAUAGGUCGGGUGUGUAAGCGCAGCGAUGCGUUGAGCUAACCGAUACUAAUGAACCGUGAGGCUUAACCUU